rnacentral:rRNA from 1 species
UACCUGCCCAGUGAUUCAACGGCCGCGGUAUCCUAACCGUGCAAAGGUAGCAUAAUCACUUGCCUAUUAAUUGUAGGCUAGAAUGAAGGGGUUAACGAAAUAAAGACUGUCUCAAUUAACUACCUAAAAAUUAUUUUCUACCUGAAGAAAGGUAGAUAAACUCGAAGGACAAGAAGACCCUAUAGAGCUUUAUUUUUCGGUUGGGGCGACCCAGGGCCAAAUAAUCACCCACUACAUAAAAGAUAAAUUAAUCAAUCAAGUGACCCUUCAAAGAUCAUUAAACUAAGCUACCUUAGGGAUAACAGGCUAAUCCCACUCAAGAGUCCUUAUCAACAGUGGGGCUUGGCACCUCGAUGUUGGCUUAGGGUAUCUAUACAGCGCAAAAGUUAUAUAAAGAUGGUUUGUUCAACCAAUAAUU